GACGAACGCUGGCGGCGUGCCUAAUACAUGCAAGUCGAGCGGAGUUAGAGAAGCUUGCUUCUCUAACUUAGCGGCGGACGGGUGAGUAACACGUGGGCAAUCUGCCCGUAAGACUGGGAUAACUCCGGGAAACCGGGGCUAAUACCGGAUAAUACUGACUCUCUCCUGAGAGUCAGUUGAAAGAUGGUUUCGGCUAUCACUUACGGAUGAGCCCGCGGCGCAUUAGCUAGUUGGUAGGGUAAUGGCCUACCAAGGCGACGAUGCGUAGCCGACCUGAGAGGGUGAUCGGCCACACUGGGACUGAGACACGGCCCAGACUCCUACGGGAGGCAGCAGUAGGGAAUCUUCCGCAAUGGACGAAAGUCUGACGGAGCAACGCCGCGUGAGUGAAGAAGGUUUUCGGAUCGUAAAACUCUGUUGUUAGGGAAGAACACGUACGAGAGUAACUGCUCGUACCUUGACGGUACCUAACCAGAAAGCCACGGCUAACUACGUG
rnacentral:rRNA from 1 species